AGUAUAGCUCAGUUGUAGAGUACUUGCCCACCAUACAUGAGGCCCUAGGUUCAAUUCCUAGUACU
rnacentral:tRNA from 1 species